GAUGAAGAACGCAGCGAAAUGCGAUAAGUAAUGUGAAUUACAGAAUUCAGUGAAUCAUCGAAUCUUUGAACGCACAUUGCGCCCGCCAGUAUUCUGGCGGGCAUGCCUGUCCGAGCGUCAUUUCAACCCUCAAGCCCCCGGGCUUGGUGUUGGAGAUCGGCGAGCCCCCCGGGGCGCGCCGUCUCCCAAAUAUAGUGGCGGUCCCGCUGUAGCUUCCUCUGCGUAGUAGCACACCUCGCACUGGGAAACAGCGUGGCCACGCCGUAAAACCCCCCACUUCUGAAAGGUUGACCUCGGAUCAGGUAGGAAUACCCGCUGAACUUAAGCAUAUCAAUAAGCGGAGGA
rnacentral:misc_RNA from 1 species